GAUGAACGCUGACAGAAUGCUUAACACAUGCAAGUCAACUUGAAUUUGGGUUUUUAACUUAGGUUUGGGUGGCGGACGGGUGAGUAACGCGUAAAGAACUUGCCUCACAGUUAGGGACAACAUUUGGAAACGAAUGCUAAUACCUAAUAUUAUGAUAAUAGGGCAUCCUAUAAUUAUGAAAGCUAUAAGCGCUGUGAGAGAGCUUUGCGUCCCAUUAGCUAGUUGAAGAGGUAACGGCUCACCAAGGCGAUGAUGGGUAGCCGGCCUGAGAGGGUGAUCGGCCACAAGGGGACUGAGACACGGCCCUUACUCCUACGGGAGGCAGCAGUGGGGAAUAUUGGACAAUGGACCAAGAGUCUGAUCCAGCAAUUCUGUGUGCACGAUGAAGUUUUUCGGAAUGUAAAGUGCUUUCAGUUGGGAAGAAAGAAAUGACGGUACCAACAGAAGAAGUGACGGCUAAAUACGUGCCAGCAGCCGCGGUAAUACGUAUGUCACGAGCGUUAUCCGGAUUUAUUGGGCGUAAAGCGCGUCUAGGUGGUUAUGUAAGUCUGAUGUGAAAAUGCAGGGCUCAACUCUGUAUUGCGUUGGAAACUGUAUAACUAGAGUACUGGAGAGGUAAGCGGAACUACAAGUGUAGAGGUGAAAUUCGUAGAUAUUUGUAGGAAUGCCGAUGGGGAAGCCAGCUUACUGGACAGAUACUGACGCUGAAGCGCGAAAGCGUGGGUAGCAAACAGG
rnacentral:rRNA from 1 species